rnacentral:misc_RNA from 1 species
GAUGAAGAACGUAGCGAAAUGCGAUAAGUAAUGUGAAUUGCAGAAUUCAGUGAAUCAUCGAAUCUUUGAACGCACCUUGCACCCUUUGGCAUUCCGAAGGGUAUGCUCGUUUGAGUGUCAUUGUACUCUCACUCUCCCGAUGCUUUUGGAUCGGGAGUGGUGGACUUGGGUGUUGCUGCUUUGCUGUGGCUCGCCUCAAAUGGAGUAGUGCAACUCUUGGUUGGACAUAGUACGGCGUGAUAAGUGUCUUCGCCGGCGCCUCAUGAUAGAGGGUGGCCGAUCGGGAGCUCUGUGCUUCAAACCGUCUUCGGACAACAUCUGACAACUUGACCUCAAAUCGAGUAGGACUACCCGCUGAACUUAAGCAUAUCAAUAAGCGGAGGA